AGAAUCAACGCUGGCGGCGCGCCUAACACAUGCAAGUCGAACGAGAAAGCGGGGGCGAACUUCGUGAGUAAAGUGGCGUACGGGUGAGUAACACGUGGAUCAUCUACCCUCUUGUGGGGGAUAACCCUGGGAAACCGGGGCUAAUACCGCAUAAGUCCGAGAGGAGAAAGCAGCAAUGCGCAGGAGGAGGAGUCCGCGGCCGAUUAGUUAGUUGGCAGGGUAAAAGCCUACCAAGACUUCGAUCGGUAGCCGGCCUGAGAGGGCACACGGCCACACUGGCACUGAAACACGGGCCAGACUCCUACGGGAGGCAGCAGUGGGAAUCUUGCACAAUGGGGGCAACCCUGAUGCAGCGACGCCGCGUGAGCGAUGAAGCCCUUCGGGGUGUAAAGCUCUUUCGGCAGGGAAGAUUAUGACGGUACCUGCAGAAGCAGCUGCGGCUAACGUACGUGCCAGCAGGCCGC
rnacentral:rRNA from 1 species